rnacentral:rRNA from 1 species
UUUAGUCAGGCAACAAGCGAGACCCAUGUGUUUAGUUGCUAACUUCUUCUCCGGAAGAGGUGUACUCUAAACAGACUGCCCGUGCUAAAUGGGAGGAAGGAGUGGGCGACGGUAGGUCAGUAUGGUCCGAAACUUCUGGGCUACACGCGGCAUACAGUGGAUAGAACAAUGGGCUGCGACCUCGAAAGGGGAAGCCAAUCCUCUAAAUCUAUCCGUGGUUCGGAUUGAGGGUUGCAACUCACCCUCAUGAAGAUGGAAUGGCUAGUAAUCGCGUGUCACUAUCACGCGGUGAAUGUGUCCCUGCUCCUUGCACA